GGUUUGAUCCUGGCUCAGAUUGAACGCUGGCGGUAUGCUUAACACAUGCAAGUCGAACGGAAACGAUGGAAGCUUGCUUCCAGGCGUCGAGUGGCGGACGGGUGAGUAAUGCUUGGGAAUCUGCCUAAUAGUGGGGGAAAACACGGGGAAACUCGUGCUAAUACCGCAUAAUCUCUACGGAGGAAAGGGGGCCUCUACAUGUAAGCUCUCGCUAAUAGAUGAGCCCAAGUCAGAUUAGCUUGUUGGUGAGGUAAAAGCUCACCAAGGCUACGAUCUGUAGCUGGUCUGAGAGGACGAUCAGCCACACUGGGACUGAGACACGGCCCAGACUCCUACGGGAGGCAGCAGUGGGGAAUAUUGCACAAUGGGCGCAAGCCUGAUGCAGCAAUACCGCGUGUGUGAAGAAGGCCUUAGGGUUGUAAAGCACUUUCAAUAGAGAAGAAAAGCUUAGAGUUAAUAACUCUAAGCGUUGACGUAACCUAUAGAA
rnacentral:rRNA from 1 species